UGAGGGGGGCUGCUCCUAGUACGAGAGGACCGGAGUGGACGCAUCACUGGUGUUCGGGUUGUCAUGCCAAUGGCACUGCUCGGUAGCUAAAUGCGGAAGAGAUAAGUGCUGAAAGCAUCUAAGCACGAAACUUGCCCCGAGAUGAGUUCUCCCUGACUCCUUGAGAGUCCUGAAGGAACGUUGAAGACGACGACGUUGAUAGGCCGGGUGUGUAAGCGCAGCGAUGCGUUGAGCUAACCGGUACUAAUGAACCGUGAGGCUUAACCUUACAACGCCGAAG
rnacentral:rRNA from 1 species